GAACAUUUAGAUAAAAAAAAAGAAAGCUCUAAAGUUUUAUCAAAUACCCAAAAUAGAGUGGUCUGCUUAAAUUGUUCGAAAUGGGAUCACGAAUUGGUUUAAUACACUUGUUCGUUUUUAUAACAGUUAUUGCACUAUUACUACAAUAAUACCAAGUUGAAGGUCGCGGAGGUCGUGGUGGGGGUCGAUACAGAGGAGGGGGCGGAUAUAGAGCUUCUGGUGGCAGUUCAGGUGGAGGAGGCCCAUGGUGGAUGUAUGUGGCCAUAUUUGGAGGAAUAUUCGCGCUAGUAGCGGGCAUUUUUAUUGUCAUAUAUAUCUACAAGAAAUGUCAAUAGCUCAAAUCUAAUGACGCAGUAAUACAUACAUAGAGUUCUAAACGACAAACUGGUACUCUGCCUGUUAAUAACUGUCGCAAUAACUGAGUUUCGUGUCAUUAGUCGUGCAUAGUUCUUCGUGAAAUCAUGCAUCAUACUUCAUACUUGUUGCGUUUUUCAUAUCAUGUUUGUGUAUGUUAACCAAUAUAAAGACAUUUUAGUGUCUCAAGAAAGCUGAAAAACAGACUCAAUCAAACCAAUCCUGCUUUUAUUCUUCUUGGUUGCCAAAAGGUCUUUUUACAGAUUUCAUUACAUAUUGAUCUAAUCAUAUUUCAUGUUUAGGCUGGCGAUUUAUUCGCCAGAAUAUUAUAACCAUAAAUCGAGAUUCCACAAAGUUCAACAAAAGUUUAAAGGUGCUGAGACUGACAACACAAAAUAUAAUUUCAUCCGCAAUUCAAAUAGUUCGCCACGUUGAUC